rnacentral:rRNA from 1 species
UACGGAGAGUUUGAUCCUGGCUCAGAACGAACGUUGGCGGCGUGCUUAAUACAUGCAAGUCGUACGAGAAAGUCGGACUUCGGUCCGGCGAGUAAAGUGGCGAACGGGUGAGUAACACGUGGAUAACUUGCCCCUGAAUCUGGGAUAAUCAACCGAAAGGUCGUCUAAUACCGGAUAAUAUUAUUUGAGGGCAUCUUCAGAUAAUCAAAGGCGGAGCAAUCUGCCGAUCAGGGAUAGGUCCGCGGUUCAUUAGCUUGUUGGUGGGGUAAUGGCCUACCAAGGCGACGAUGAAUAGCCGGCUUGAGAGAGUGAACGGCCACACUGGGACUGAGAUACGGCCCAGACUCCUACGGGAGGCAGCAGUAGGGAAUAUUGCGCAAUGGACGAAAGUCUGACGCAGCAACGCCGCGUGGGUGAUGAAGCAUCUUGGUGUGUAAAACCCUGUCAGCGGGGAAGAACCGUACAAGUAGUAACUGACUUGUGCCUGACGGUACCCGCAGAGGAAGUCCCGGCUAACUCCGUGCCAGCAGCCGCGGUAAUACGGGGGGGACUAACGUUGUUCGGAUUUACUGGGCGUAAAGGGUGCGUAGGCGGACCUUCAAGUCGGAUGUGAAAACUAUAGGCUCAACUUAUAGCCUGCAUUCGAUACUGUCGGUCUUGAGUGAAUUAGAGGAAAGCGGAAUUCCAGGUGUAGCGGUGAAAUGCGUAGAUAUCGGGAGGAACACCAGUAGCGAAGGCGGCUUUCUGGGAUUAUACUGACGCUGAAGCACGAAGGCUAGGGGAGCAAACAGGAUUAGAUACCCUGGUAGUCCUAGCGGUAAACGAUGGGCACUAGGUGUCGGGAGGCGUUGACCCUCUCGGUGCCGCAGCUAACGCAUUAAGUGCCCCGCCUGGGGAGUACGAUCGCAAGAUUGAAACUCAAAGGAAUUGACGGGGGCCCGCACAAGCGGUGGAGUAUGUGGUUUAAUUCGAGGCAACGCGAAGAACCUUACCUGGAUUUGACAUGUUUAGGACCGACUGUGAAAGCAGUCUUUCCCUUCGGGGACCUUUGCACAGGUGCUGCAUGGCUGUCGUCAGCUCGUGCCGUGAGGUGUUGGGUUAAGUCCCGCAACGAGCGCAACCCCUAUCUAUAGUUGCCAUCAGAUAAUGCUGGGGACUCUAUAGAGACUGCCGGUGACAAACCGGAGGAAGGUGGGGACGACGUCAAGUCCUCAUGGCCCUUACAUCCAGGGCUACACACGUACUACAAUGGCCGGUACAAUAGGAAGCAAUAUCGCGAGAUGGAGCCAAUCCCCAAAACCGGUCUCAGUUCAGAUUGCAGUCUGCAACUCGACUGCAUGAAGGUGGAAUCGCUAGUAAUCGCUGAUCAGCAGGCAGCGGUGAAUACGUUCCCGGGCCUUGUACACACCGCCCGUCAAGCCACGGGAGUUGGGAGUACCCGAAGUCAUUUGGUCAACCGCAAGGAGACCGGUGCCUAAGGUAAUACCAGCGACUGGGGCUAAGUCGUAACAAGGUAGCCGUAGCGGAAGCUGUGGCUGGAUCACCUCCUU